CCAAUAGCGUAUAUUAAAGUUGUUGCAGUUAAAAAGCUCGUAGUUGAAUUUCGGGAUCAAUACGUCGGUCGUGCUUCGGUACGUACUGGCGUUAUUGGUUUCUCCUUUCUGACAAGUCGUGAUGUCAUUAAUUUGGUGUCAUGGGGAGUCAGGACUGUUACUUUGAAAAAAUUAGAGUGUUUAAAGCAGGCACACGCUUGAAUACAUUAGCAUGGAAUAAUGAAAUAGGACGUUCGACCCUAUUUUGUUGGUUUCUAGGAUCGACGUAAUGAUUAAUAGGGAUAGUUGGGGGCAUUAGUAUUCAAUUGUCAGAGGUGAAAUUCUUGGAUUUAUUGAAGACUAACUACUGCGAAAGCAUUUGCCAAGGAUGUUUUCAUUAAUCAAGAACGAAAGUUAGGGGAUCGAAGACGAUCAGAUACCGUCGUAGUCUUAACCAUAAACUAUGCCGACUAGGGAUCGGAUGAUGUUAAUUUUAUAAUGACUCAUUCGGCGCCUUACG
rnacentral:rRNA from 1 species